CAGAGCCCAAAGCAGAGCUCAUGGCCAACAUGUCACCUCGAAUAUUCGUUGCCAUCUCAACUGUACAUCCAGAAAUCUGCACGCCUCACAAUUCUUUACAGAUCACGCCAGACCAAACGUUAUAGAAUGAAGGUGAAGACAAAGUCAAGGGAAUUUUCAUGCUGAGUAACAUCCCCUGUCAUAAAGAAGCUCAGCUUGACGCUCUGGAGAACCGUAAUCAGGAAAACUGUCCACAAGACAUAUGUGAGGUUUGCAACCCAGCUCCUGGAGGAAAAUCCUGCCAGCACAAACAUUAGUUACCAAAGCCAUGAAAGAAGACAGCUGACCAGAAUGAAUGGCUGGUACUAACCUUCUUGAGGGAUUCAGCUGAUGUUACAGACAUCUUAAGCUACAAAUUGAGCAGGAACAGAGCUCCUUAAAGCUAUAGUAUUGUUUAGUUUGCCACAGACUGUACAUUCAGAAGAAAACAGAGAAAAUUCAUAUCCCUCUUUCCAUCAGUGACUGAGAGGCCUAACCCAAGUUGCCACCAGAAGAGGCACGUGGCAUUGCUUCUUUGAUUAAACUGUGCUUAGUCUCUUGAGGUGAGGGCUCACACUUCAUUCCCAUUUCUGGUUUUGGUAUUAUUAAUCUGAAAAUGUAUCUUACCUCUAUGAAAGUGCCUUCUGUCUUCCACAGCUUAAUGCAGAUCCACAGGGGGAUACAGAUCAUGGAAGAGAGCGCCAUCAUCCACCCUAUGCCGUAGCCCCAGUCAGGAUAUAUAUAGACAUUGUUGUAUUUCAGAGGCUUGUAUUUCACCAGGAAAAAGAUGAAGAUUCCCUGAAAUAAGCAGAGAAAUGUAUCAGUGGUAUUUGACAAAACACUGCCUGUGGAACAAGAAAAUGAUUGACUGUUUAGGCAAGGCCGGUCUCCCUAAAGAUGGAAAGAAGAGGUAAGCUUUUCAGUCAGAGAAACAAAACAACCAGCAGUGUCUGCUUUUAUGUACAGCUUAAACAACAUGUCUCAGUAGCUUCCACAGAAACGAACAACCUUUCAAGUUUAA